GACGAACGCUGGCGGCGUGCUUAACACAUGCCAGUCGAACGGAAAGGCCUGCUUUCCCUUGUGGAUUGCGGGUACUCGAGUGGCGAACGGGUGAGUAACACGUGAGUGAUCUGCCCCCAACUUGGGUAUAAGCCUGGGAAACUGGGUCUAAUUCCCGAUAGGACUGCAGGGUGGUGCCUGUGGUGGAAAACGAUUUUCUAGUGGUUGGGGAUGAGCUCGCGGCCUAUCAGCUUGUUGGUGGGGUAAUGGCCUACCAAGGCGGCGACGGGUAGCCGGCCUGAGAGGGUGGACGGCCACAUUGGGACUGAGAUACGGCCCAGACUCCUACGGGAGGCAGCAGUGGGGAAUAUUGCACAAUGGGCGGAAGCCUGAUGCAGCGACGCCGCGUGGGGGAUGACGGCCUUCGGGUUGUAAACUCCUUUCGACCGCGAGGAAGCCACCUGGUUGGAAGGGUGGUGACGGUAGUGGUAGAAGAAGCACCGGCUAACCACGUG
rnacentral:rRNA from 1 species